rnacentral:rRNA from 1 species
GACGAACGCUGGCGGCGUGCUUAACACAUGCAAGUCGAACGGAAAGGCCCUGCUUUUGUUGGGUGCUCGAGUGGCGAACGGGUGAGUAACACGUGAGUAACCUCCCCUUGACUUUGGGAUAACUUCAGGAAACUGGGGCUAUUACCGGAUAGGAGCUCCUGCUGCAUGGUGGGGGUUGGAAAGUUUCGGCGGUUGGGGAUGGACUCGCGGCUUAUCAGCUUGUUGGUGGGGUAGUGGCUUACCAAGGCUUUGACGGGUAGCCGGCAUGAGAGGGGGACCGGCCACAUUGGGACUGAGAUACGCACCAGACUGCUACGGGAGGCAGCAGUGGGGAGUAUUGCACAAUGGGCGGAAGCCUGAUGCAGCAGCGCCGCGUGCGGGAUGACGGCCUUCGGGUUGUAAACCGCUUUCGCCUGUGACGAAGCGUGAGUGACGGUAAUGGGUAAAGAAGCACCGGCUAACUACGUG